UACGUAGGUCCCGAGCGUUGUCCGGAUUUAUUGGGCGUAAAGCGAGCGCAGGUGGUUUAUUAAGUAUGGUGUAAAAGGCAGUGGCUCAACCAUUGUAUGCAUUGGAAACUGGUAGACUUGAGUGCAGGAGAGGAGAGUGGAAUUCCAUGUGUAGCGGUGAAAUGCGUAGAUAUAUGGAGGAACACCGGUGGCGAAAGCGGCUCUCUGGCCUGUAACUGACACUGAGGCUCGAAAGCGUGGGGAGCAAACAGG
rnacentral:rRNA from 1 species